GGUAGACAGGCAGCAGACAGCAGCAGCCCGAUAGCCUUACACUUGAGGGUUUGACACUACAAUGGCGGUGCGAAGGAUGGACGAGAGGGCACACAUAACAGUGGAUAUAAAAACUAGGCUUACAUAUAUAUGAAAAACCGUGACGGGCGCUGACAUAUCGCUUCUGAGCAACCCCACCUCUGGGUACAACCACGGGGGGGAAAGAGCUUAG